AUUGAACGCUGGCGGCAGGCCUAACACAUGCAAGUUGAGCGGAGCGGCGGACGGGUGAGUAAUGCCUGGGAAUCUGUCUGGUAGAGGGGGCUAACGUCCGGAAACGGGCGCUAAUACCGCAUACUAUCAGAUGAGCCUCGGUCGGAUUAGCUAGUUGGUGGGGUAAAGGCCUACCAAGGCGACGAUCCGUAACUGGUCUGAGAGGAUGAUCAGUCAAACUGGAAUUUAAACACGGUCCAGACUCCUGCGAGAGGCAGCAGUGGAGAAUAUUGGACAAUGGGCGAAAGCCUGAUCCAGCCAUGCAGCGUGUGUGAAGAAGGUCUUCGGAUUGUAAAGCACUUUAAGUUGGGAAGCGUUACCAACAGAAUAAGCACCGGCUAACUUCGUGCCAGCAGCCGCGGUAAUUC
rnacentral:rRNA from 1 species